CACACCCGUUCCCAUCCCGAACACGGAAGUUAAGCUCUCCAGCGCCGAUGGUAGUUGGGGCCAGCGCCCCUGCAAGAGUAGGACGUUGCUAGGC
rnacentral:rRNA from 1 species